rnacentral:tRNA from 3 species
UUUACUUUUAUUAGAA